rnacentral:lncRNA from 1 species
UUAUCUUUCCAAAUUGACUGAAAUCGAAUCUUCUAUUCUUGAUAGCCAAUAAAUAUGGAUUUUAGAGGCCAUAAUUUUGAACAAUUUGCAAUUAUUGACAAGAAAUUUUUUGAUUUAGCCAUCUAUUGGAAUUCAUUAUUUAAAUUAGAAAGCUGCAAAAUGUCUUCCAAUUUGGUUUGGCGUCAUUUAGAAAAUCAGCCAAAUUUGUCCCAAGUUUUAGAUUAUCUUUUUUCUAUUUUUGCUUGGCC